GCACCCCAAAUACCCCACCCCGUCCGGCUGGAGCCCCCCCAGAGGUCAGCGACCCCGUGGGGGGCAUUGGGGUUUGGGGAGGGGGGAUUAUUUAUCCCAAAACCAAAAGUAAUUAACGGGGCUUAUUCAGUGUGAGAAGAGUCUAAGGAGAGCAUUAAUGACUUUGUGGGGGGACGCUUAAUUACCCUGGGGUGGUUAAUUACCCGAGGGGGGGGGGGCCAAAAUAUUGGGGAAUUCCUGACCCCAAACCAAGUAGAGAAGAGGAUUUAUUUACCCCAAAUCGGGUUGAAUUCCCCCGGGGUCAGUUUAAUUCCUUCGGGGGGCGUGUUAAUUACCCCUGGGGAGUGUUAAUUACCUCUCAGCCUCCGUCCCCCCCCCAGGGCCCCCCCCGGAGCUGCCUUACUUCGUGCGGCGCUCGCGGCUGCACAACCUCCCGGUGUACCUGGGGCUGCGGCAGGGCCGGCGCCUCACGGCCCUGCGCCACAUCCACGGCGACAUCUGGGUGAGUGGGGGGCUCGCGGGGGUCUGGGGGGGCCCCCGGGGGUCCCGCUGACCCCCCCCCGUCCUCCCCCAGGCGCUGGAGCGCGACCUGAGGGCGUUCCUGGGGUCCCUGGGGGUCCCCGAGCCACAGGCGCAGGUGAACGAGGUGACGGGGACGCUGCGGCUCAGGGGGCACUGGGGGCCCGAGGUGCGGCGCUGGCUGCUCGAGAGAGGCUUCUAGGGACCCCCAAAGCUGCGGGGACCCCCACAGCUGCCCGGGGGACUCCCCAGUCUGCAAGGGAUCUGCUGUGGAUGCACCUGGAGUGUCCCGAAAUGGAUCCUGGACAGCGCAAAAUCUGUUGGGGGAGCUCAAAACUCACUGGGGGAGCUUGGAAUCUGCUGGGGCACCUCCUGAUCUGGCUGGAGCACCCCAAAAAUCUGUGGGGGCAUCUCCAAAUCCAGCUGGAGCACCCCAAAAUCUGUGGGGAGCACCUCGAAAUCUACAGAGGAAGCUUGGAAUCCAUCUGGGCACCUCAAAAUCCACGUGGAGGCCGCUGUGGCCACCCCAAAAUCUGUUGGAGGCACCUCAGAACCGCUGGGGGAACCCUGAAAUCCACGAGGGGCAGCCCGAAAUCCACCCUGGGGUAUCCCAGCAUCUGCUGGGGGCCCCCCAAGAAUGAAACAAACCCCCCCAAAAUGGAACAAACCCCCAAUAAAUGCCUCGGGUAACUCCUCACAGCCUCUUUAUUUACAAACCACCCCCCCCCAAAUUUUGGGGGAGGGGUCCCACAAACUGUACAGGGGGGUUGUGCCGGG
rnacentral:lncRNA from 13 species